rnacentral:rRNA from 1 species
CCCUUAGAUGUUCUGGGCCGCACGCGCGCUACACUGAUGCAUUCAACGAGCCUAUCCUUGACCGACAGGUCCGGGUAAUCUUUGAAUCUGCAUCGUGACGGGGAUAGAUUAUUGCAAUUAUUAAUCUUCAACGAGGAAUGCCUAGUAGGCGCAAGUCUUCAGCUUGCGUCGAUUACGUCCCUGCCCUUUGUACACACCGCCCGUCGCUCCUACCGAUUGGGUGUGCUGGUGAAAUGUUCGGAUCGGCCGUUUGUCGCGGUUUCCGCGUCAUGUGGCUGAGAAGUUCAUUAAACCCUCCCACCUAGAGGAAGGAGAAGUCGUAACA